AAAGCGGCGCACGGGUGAGUAACACGUAAGCAACUUGCCUUCAAGUUCGGGAUAACCCUGCUAACGCGGGGCUAAUACCAGAUGUGGUCCUCGAGUCGCAUGGCUUGAGGAUUAAAGGUGACCUCUACAUGUAAGUUACCGCUUGAAGAUGGGCUUGCGCACCAUUAGCUAGUUGGUGAGGUAACGGCCCACCAAGGCUUUGAUGGUUAGCUGACCUGAGAGGGCGAUCGGCCACAUUGGGACUGAGAUACGGCCCAGACUCCUACGGGAGGCAGCAGUAGGGAAUUUUGCGCAAUGGACGAAAGUCUGACGCAGCGACGCCGCGUGAGCGAUGAAGAUCUUCGGAUUGUAAAGCUCUGUUGAGUGGGAAGAAUAGUUCCGGGUAUAAUACACUCGGGAUUUGACGGUACCACUUGAGGAAGCCCCGGCUAACUACGUGCCAGCAGCCGCGGUAAUACGUAGGGGGCUAGCGUUGUUCGGAAUCACUGGGCGUAAAGGGAGCGUAGGCGGAAGAGUAAGUUAGGAGUCAAAUUCCCAGGCUUAACCUGGGGUCCGCUCUUAAUACUGCUUUUCUUGAGUAUGGGAGAGGGUGAUGGAAUUCCAGGUGUAGCGGUGGAAUGCGUAGAUAUCUGGAAGAACACCAGUUGCGAAGGCGGUCACCUGGCCCAAUACUGACGCUGAGGCUAGAAAGCUAGGGGAGCAAACAGGAUUAGAUACCCUGGUAGU
rnacentral:rRNA from 1 species